rnacentral:rRNA from 1 species
ACGAAGGGGGCUAGCGUUGCUCGGAAUUACUGGGCGUAAAGCGCACGUAGGCGGCUUCUUAAGUCGGGGGUGAAAUCCCGGAGCUCAACUCCGGAACUGCCAUUGAAACUGUUUAGCUUGAGGAUGAGAGAGGUGAGUGGAAUUCCCAGUGUAGAGGUGAAAUUCGUAGAUAUUGGGAGGAACACCGGUGGCGAAGGCGGCUCACUGGCUCAUUACUGACGCUCAGGCGCGAUAGCGUGGGGAUCAAACAGGA